UACGUAGGGUGCAAGCGUUGUCCGGAAUUAUUGGGCGUAAAGAGCUCGUAGGCGGUCUGUCGCGUCGGCUGUGAAAACCCGGAGCUCAACUCCGGGCCUGCAGUCGAUACGGGCAAACUGGAGUACUGCAGGGGAGACUGGAAUUCCUGGUGUAGCGGUGGAAUGCGCAGAUAUCAGGAGGAACACCGGUGGCGAAGGCGGGUCUGCUGGGCAGUUGCUGACACUGAGGCGCGACAGCGUGGGGAGCAAACAGG
rnacentral:rRNA from 1 species